GCCCUUAUAGCUCAGUUGGUAGAGCAUCUGAUUUGUAAUCAGAGGGUCGGGAGUUCGAGUCUCUCUGAGGGCACCA
rnacentral:tRNA from 1 species